rnacentral:rRNA from 1 species
GACGUAGGGCGCGAGCGUUGUCCGGAAUUAUUGGGCGUAAAGAGCUCGUAGGCGGCUUGUCGCGUCGACUGUGAAAACCCGCGGCUCAACUGCGGGCCUGCAGCCGAUACGGGCAGGCUAGAGUUCGGUAGGGGAGACUGGAAUUCCUGGUGUAGCGGUGAAAUGCGCAGAUAUCGGGAGGAACACCAGUGGCGAAGGCGACUACCUGGCCUGUUCUUGACGCUGAGGCGCGAAAGCUAGGGGAGCAAACGGG